AGUGAACGCUGGCGGUAGGCCUAACACAUGCAAGUCGAACGGCAGCACAGUAAGAGCUUGCUCUUACGGGUGGCGAGUGGCGGACGGGUGAGGAAUACAUCGGAAUCUACUUUUUCGUGGGGGAUAACGUAGGGAAACUUACGCUAAUACCGCAUACGACCUACGGGUGAAAGCAGGGGAUCUUCGGACCUUGCGCGAUUGAAUGAGCCGAUGUCGUAUUAGCUAGUUGGCGGGGUAAAGGCCCACCAAGGCGACGAUCCGUAGCUGGUCUGAGAGGAUGAUCAGCCACACUGGAACUGAGACACGGUCCAGACUCCUACGGGAGGCAGCAGUGGGGAAUAGUGGACAAUGGGCGCAAGCCUGAUCCAGCCAUACCGCGUGGGUGAAGAAGGCCUUCGGGUUGUGAAGCCCUUUUGUUGGGAAAGAAAAGCAGCAGGUUAAUACCCCGCUGUUCUGACGGUACCCAAAGAAUAAGCACCGGCUAACUUCGUG
rnacentral:rRNA from 1 species